GAGAUUUUAAGUUAAUAGUAAACUAAAGGCCUUCAAAGUCUUAAAUGAGUUUUAAUACUCAAUUCUUG
rnacentral:tRNA from 1 species